AAACUUUCAACAACGGAUCUCUUGGUUCCGGCAUCGAUGAAGAACGCAGCGAAAUGCGAUAAGUAAUGUGAAUUGCAGAAUUCCGUGAAUCAUCGAAUCUUUGAACGCACAUUGCGCCCCCUGGCAUU
rnacentral:rRNA from 13 species